rnacentral:rRNA from 1 species
GAUACACACCUCUUCUACACACACCGCAGUGGAAGUGUCUUGGCUCCGCGACAACUCGAGUGAGAAGAAGCCGGUGCAACUGGCGAUAUACGUGAAAUGUGCGAAUGCCGAGAUCCGUGAGGUCACUCAAAAAUUUGGAACGCCAAUAUUGCCCCUUCCCGGGGUAUAUGUCCCUGGAGAGUAUGCCUUGGAUUCAAGUUGCCCGGUUAAUAUCGAGAAAUUGGUUUCAUUGAAUUUGAAGCCGAGAUGGUGAAGUGUCCUGUUGUAAAUGACACAGUCCCCUUUCAAAUGAGGUAUUUCCCGCCACCGUCCCUUGUGGCUUGUAUUAUAUAAAAGGUAUAUGCGGUUUCAAUUUUCUUGAGUCUGGUGUUAAACAUGGACCCUCGAAGGGGAAAAUGAAUUGCGGUUGUUUUGCUUGUACUUCGGUACGGGAUAAAAUAAUAAAUUGCCUUUUGUUUUUCUGGACGGGUUUGUGUGGAGCACUUGAUUUCGAUUUUGGAUAGUAUGUACUGGUACUUUCCUUGACGUGUGGAGGGCAAAUUGGGAAACUAAUCCAAUUUGGACCUGAUAUCAAGCAAGAUUACCCGCUGAACUUAAGCAUAUCAUUAAGCGGAGGAAAAGAAACUAACAAGGAUUCCCCUAGUAACGGCGAGUGAAGCGGGAAGAGCUCAAACUUAAAAUCUCCACGUUUACGUGGCGAAUUGUAGUCUAUUGAGGCUGUUGUCAGCAUAGCGACCUGGGAGAAGUCCCUUGGAAAAGGGCAGCAAAGAGGGUGAUACUCCCGUCUCUGCUCAGGUUGUCUGUGUGUACGAUACGCUUUCUUUGAGUCGAGUUGUUUGGGAAUACAGCUCAAAGUAGGUGGUAAAUUCCAUCUAAAGCUAAAUAUUGGUGCGAGACCGAUAGCGAACAAGUACCGUGAGGGAAAGAUGAAAAGAACUUUGAAAAGAGAGUUAAAGAGUACCUGAAACUGUUGAAAGGGAACCGUAUCGUUUCCAGUGUUGUAUCCUGUGCAUAUUUCAUUAGCGGAGCAAUUUGCUGGUGCCCUGUGCAUGGGUGUGACGUCAGAGUCAGUUUGUAUGCUGCGGGAGAUGGUUAGUAAGGAGGUGAUUCACUUCGGUGAAAGUUAUACCUUACUAUCUAGUUGCCGUGGUUGAGACUGAGGUGCCUACAACAUGCUCUGGGGUUCAGUGCUGUCUCGUUUUGGUGACUGCUUGGAUAGCUUGCUAUGUCUGCGGUUAAUCAGGGCGAUUGAUGGUAUUGAUAACCUCUGCUGUUCGGGACUCUGGCGAAAUGG